GACGAACGCUGGCGGCGUGCUUAACACAUGCAAGUCGAACGGAAAGGCCCUGCUUUUGUGGGGUGCUCGAGUGGCGAACGGGUGAGUAACACGUGAGUAACCUGCCCUUGACUUUGGGAUAACUUCAGGAAACUGGGGCUAAUACCGGAUAGGAGCUCCUGCUGCAUGGUGGGGGUUGGAAAGUUUCGGCGGUUGGGGAUGGACUCGCGGCUUAUCAGCUUGUUGGUGGGGUAGUGGCUUACCAAGGCUUUGACGGGUAGCCGGCCUGAGAGGGUGACCGGCCACAUGGGGACUGAGAUACGGCCCAGACUCCUACGGGAGGCAGCAGUGGGGAAUAUUGCACAAUGGGCGGAAGCCUGAUGCAGCAAAGCCGCGUGCGGGAUGACGGCCUGCGGGUUGUAAACCGCUUUCGCCUGUGACGAAGCGUGAGUGACGGUAAUGGGUAAAGAAGCACCGGCUAACUACGUG
rnacentral:rRNA from 1 species